ACAGGAAGAAAGCUUGCUUUCUUUGCUGACGAGCGGCGGACGGGUGAGUAAUGCCUAGGGAACUGCCCAGUCGAGGGGGAUAACAGUUGGAAACGACUGCUAAUACCGCAUACGCCCUACGGGGGAAAGGAGGGGACCUUCGGGCCUUUCGCGAUUGGAUGUACCUAGGUGGGAUUAGCUUGUUGGUGAGGUAAGAGCUCACCAAGGCGACGAUCCCUAGCUGUUCUGAGAGGAUGAUCAGCCACACUGGGACUGAGACACGGCCCAGACUCCUACGGGAGGCAGCAGUGGGGAAUAUUGCACAAUGGGCGAAAGCCUGAUGCAGCCAUGCCGCGUGUGUGAAGAAGGCCUUCGGGUUGUAAAGCACUUUCAGCGAGGAGGAAAGGUUAACGGUUAAUACCCGUUAGCUGUGACGUUACUCGCAGAAGAAGCACCGGCUAACUUCGUGCCAGCAGCCGCGGUAAUACGAGGGGUGCAAGCGUUAAUCGGAAUUACUGGGCGUAAAGCGUACGCAGGCGGUUUGUUAAGCGAGAUGUGAAAGCCCCGGGCUCAACCUGGGAACUGCAUUUCGAACUGGCAAACUAGAGUCUUGUAGAGGGGGGGUAAUUU
rnacentral:rRNA from 1 species